rnacentral:rRNA from 1 species
GAGACCCGUGCCCACUGUUACCAGCAUGUCCUCCGGGAUGAUGGGUACUCUGUGGGGACCGCCGGUGUUAAAUCGGAGGAAGGUGCGGGCUACGGUAGGUCAGUAUGCCCCGAAUUUCCCGGGCUACACGCGGGCUACAAUGAAUGGGACAAUGGGUCCCCCCCCUGAAAAGGGCUGGUAAUCUCACAAACCCAUCCUUAGUUCGGAUCGAGGGCUGUAACUCGCCCUCGUGAAGCUGGAAUCCGUAGUAAUCGCGUUUCAAUAUAGCGCGGUGAAUAC